AGAGUUUGAUCAUGGCUCAGGAUGAACGCUGGCGGCGUGCCUAACACAUGCAAGUCGAACGGGAAUCUUCGGAUUCUAGUGGCGGACGGGUGAGUAACGCGUAAGAAUCUAACUUCAGGACGGGGACAACAGUUGGAAACGACUGCUAAUACCCGAUAUGCCGCAAGGUGAAACCUAAUUGGCCUGAAGAAGAGCUUGCGUCUGAUUAGCUAGUUGGUGGGGUAAGAGCCUACCAAGGCGACGAUCAGUAGCUGGUCUGAGAGGAUGAGCAGCCACACUGGGACUGAGACACGGCCCAGACUCCUACGGGAGGCAGCAGUGGGGAAUUUUCCGCAAUGGGCGAAAGCCUGACGGAGCAACGCCGCGUGAGGGAGGAAGGUCUUUGGAUUGUAAACCUCUUUUCUCAAGGAAGAAGUUCUGACGGUACUUGAGGAAUCAGCCUCGGCUAACUCCGUGCCAGCAGCCGCGGUAAUACGGGGGAGGCAAGCGUUAUCCGGAAUUAUUGGGCGUAAAGCGUCCGCAGGUGGUCAGCCAAGUCGGCCGUCAAAUCAGGUUGCUUAACGACCUAAAGGCGGUGGAAACUGGCAGACUAGAGAGCAGUAGGGGUAGCAGGAAUUCCCAGUGUAGCGGUGAAAUGCGUAGAGAUUGGGGAAGAACAUCGGUGGCGAAAGCGUGCUACUGGGCUGUAUCUGACACUCAGGGACGAAAGCUAGGGGAGCGAAAGGGAUUAGAUACCCCUGUAGUCCUAGCCGUAAACGAUGGAUACUAGGCGUGGCUUGUAUCGACCCGAGCCGUGCCGAAGCUAACGCGUUAAGUAUCCCGCCUGGGGAGUACGCACGCAAGUGUGAA
rnacentral:rRNA from 1 species